CGGAGGGUGCAAGCGUUAUCCAGAUUUACUGGGUUUAAAGGGUGUGUAGGCGGGCUAUUAAGUCAGUGGUGAAAUCUCCGAGCUUAACUUGGAAACUGCCAUUGAUACUAUUAGUCUUGAAUAUUGUUGAGGUAGGCGGAAUAAGUCAUGUAGCGGUGAAAUGCAUAGAUAUGACUUAGAACACCAAUUGCGAAGGCAGCUUGCUAAACAAUUAUUGACGCUGAGGCACGAAAGCGUGGGGAUCAAACAGGAUUAGAUACCCUGGUAGUCCACGCCCUAAACGAUGAUUACUCGACAUACGCGAUACACAGUGUGUGUCUGAGCGAAAGCAUUAAGUAAUCCACCAGGGAAGUACGACCGCAAGGUUG
rnacentral:rRNA from 1 species